rnacentral:rRNA from 1 species
UACAGAGGGUGCGAGCGUUGUCCGGAAUCACUGGGCGUAAAGGGCGCGUAGGUGGCGCUCCAAGUCUGUGGUGAAAGCUCGACGCUCAACGUCGAGUCGGCCAUACGAGACUGGAGGCUCGAGCACUGUAGGGGCAGAUGGAUUCCGGGUGUAGCGGUGGAAUGCGUAGAUAUUGGGAGGAACACCAGUGGCGAAGGCGGCU